rnacentral:rRNA from 1 species
AGUCUGGUGCCAGCAGCCGCGGUAAUUCCAGCUCCAAUAGCGUAUAUUAAAAUUGUUGCGUCUAAAAGCUCGUAGUUUGAAAACUUGCCUCAGUUUACAAUCGGUCCUCACGGGCCACCGUUUAUUGGGCGCAAAUAUAGAUAACUGUUUUUGCCGACUUCACUGUUUGGCUUAUAAGAGUUAUCAAAUAUCACUUUGAUUAAAUUAGAGUGCUUAAAGCAAGUGUGUUACUUGGAUAUAAAUGCAUGGAAUGAUGGAAUAUGUUGUUGUUCUAUUUGUUGGUUUUUGAACGAUGAAAUGAUUGAAAGGAACUGUUGGGGGCAUUCGUAUUGUUGUGAGAGAGGUGAAAUUCUUAGACCACAGCAAGACGAACUACUGCGAAAGCAUUUGCCAAGAAUGUUUUCAUUGAUCAAGAACGAAAGUUAGAGGUUCGAAGGCGAUCAGAUACCGCCCUAGUUCUAACCAUA